rnacentral:rRNA from 1 species
GUGAGGAAUAUUGGACAAUGGAUGGAAAUCUGAUCCAGCCAUGCCGCGUGCAGGAAGACGGCCCUAUGGGUUGUAAACUGCUUUUAUACGGGAGCAAUAAGGUCUAUGCAUAGAUUGAUGAGAGUACCGUAUGAAUAAGCAUCGGCUAACUCCGUGCCAGCAGCCGCGGUAAUACGGAGGAUGCGAGCGUUAUCCGGAUUUAUUGGGUUUAAAGGGUGCGUAGGCGGCUUUGUAAGUCAGCGGUGAAAUUUUGCAGCUUAACUGUAAAAGCGCCGUUGAUACUGUGAAGCUAGGAUUUGGUUGCUGUGGGCGGAAUGUGUGGUGUAGCGGUGAAAUGCAUAGAGAUCACACAGAAUAUCGAUUGCGAAGGCAGCUCACAAAGCCAAUAUUGACGCUGAGGCACGAAAGUGUGGGGAUCAAACAGGAUUAGAUACCCGAGUAGUCC